UACGGAGGAUCCGAGCGUUAUCCGGAUUUAUUGGGUUUAAAGGGUGCGCAGGCGGGAUGUUAAGUCGGCGGUGAAAUUUUGCAGCUCAACUGUAAAAGUGCCUUCGAUACUGGCUUUCUUGAGUGUGGAUGAAGUAGGCGGAAUUUGUGGUGUAGCGGUGAAAUGCUUAGAUAUCACGAGGAACUCCGAUUGCGCAGGCAGCUUACUAAACCACUACUGACGCUCAUGCACGAAGGCGUGGGGAUCAAACA
rnacentral:rRNA from 1 species